rnacentral:lncRNA from 1 species
AAUCCCUGCUGUGUCUUGGCCGUGGAGGAUUGUGUUUUGUACCUGUUGAGAUCCUCCCUCUGUGUGUUGGCUGUGUUAUAGUGAUCUCGGUGUGUUUUUCUAAGUAUUGAACAGUCUAUUUUCAACAUCAGGGGUCACUUACCAAGACUAAUCUUAACGUGAGAAGGAAGCCCAAAGGAAGAGGAAAGCGAGGAGUCAGAAAUGACUCAUGCCGAGGGACAGCUGACAUUCCAGGAUGUGGCCAUAGACUUCACUCAAGAGGAGUGGGAAUGCCUGGACCUCGGUCAGCGGGAAUUGUACAGGGACGUGAUGUUAGAGAAUUACGGGAACCUGGCCUCCUUGGGGCUUGUCUCUAUGCUGGACCUGGUCACCUUUCUGGAGCAAUUGAAGGAUCCCAGGAAUAUAAGGAGAAUGGAGACAACAGCCAUUUACCCAGCUGUGUCUCCACAAGACACCCAGAAUUUGAUGCCAAAGAAUCCAGCGUUAGAAGAAGUAUUCCCAAAAGGAAACCUAGGAAUAUAUCAAAUAUUUCACCUCAGAAACUUAAAUUUAAUGAAAGAUCGGGAAUAUACGAGGGUAAAUGAAAAACAGAGAGGAUGUUUCUAUGGGCAUAAAGAAAUGGAGACAGUGACACAUAAUGCUAACAUUACUGGCAAAAGAAAUGAGCAGCGUGAGUCAAAUUGGGAAAAACACCAACUUCAGUCUUCAACAUCUGCCGAGAAGUGUAAGUGUUUAAGAAAAGAUUUCCAUCCUUUUUUGAAACAUACGUGUUCUCUAAAAGAAAACGUGGAAAAUCUGGAAGAUAAUCUAGUCUCUACUGCAAAUACUCAUUCUGAACAAAGGCUUCGACUGAACAUACAUUCAAGCGUGUCUGAACACCUACAAUUUAACAAUGAGUGUGAAAACUCACAAUCUAAUCAAUUUGAGGGAUCCGUGAGCAGGGUGUCAUUAUUCUUUCCCCAAGAGAUAUUUUCUCUCCAUUCCAAGAUGUAUAAUGUUGAUGAUAAUGGAAGAGAUGCAAUCCAAUCUUCAUUGUUCAAUACAUAUCGUGAUAUGGUUAAUACACAACAACUUUCCAUAUAUAAUAAAAUGAGUCUGACCUUAAGUAAGAGCUCCAGCUCCAAUAAUGACAAGAAUAUUUAUGGUGGACUGAGAAGAUAUUCAGGAAAUGAAACUAGGUAUACAGUUGAAGGAGACUCAAACCUUAUGAAACAUCAGGGACCCAAAUCUUCAAACAAGGAUUCUAAAAGCAAUAAAUGUAGAAAUACCUUUGAUCAAAUGUCAGGUUUUUCUCUAGAUAAGAGUACUUGUACUGGAGAGAGGACUUGUAGUGAAUAUAGUAAGGUUUCUAAUCACUGUUCAGACCUUACUCAACAGGACACUGUUCAGAAUCCACAGAAAGAAAACAAGUGUAAGAUACGUGAGAAAGUAUUUAGUAAGUCAUCCAGUCUAAGUAGACAUAGGAAAAUUCAUACAGGAAGGGAAUCUUUCAAGUGUACAGAAUGUAGCAAAGCAUUUAACUCUCACUCACUUCUUACUCGACAUCAGCGAAUUCAUGCUGGAGAGAAACCUUAUAAAUGUACAGAAUGUAGCAAAGCCUUUACUUACAACUCAGAACUUAUUGAACAUCAGCGAAUUCAUACUGGAGAGAAACCUUAUAUAUGUAAAGAAUGUAACAAAGCCUUUCGUUGUUCCUUUUUUCUUACUCGACAUCAGCGAAUUCAUGCUGGAGAGAAACCUUAUAAAUGUACAGAAUGUAGCAAAGCCUUUACUUACAACUCAGAACUUAUUGAACAUCAGCGAAUUCAUACUGGAGAGAAACCUUACAUAUGUAAAGAAUGUAACAAAGCCUUUCGUUGUUCCUCAUUUCUUCGUCGACAUCAGCGAAUUCACACCGGAGAGAAACCUUACAAAUGUACAAUAUGUGGCAAAGCCUUUACUUACAACUCAUAUCUUACUCAACAUCGGCGAAUUCAUACAGGAGAGAAACCUUAUAAAUGUACAGAAUGUAGCGAAGCCUUUAUCAGUUCCUCAUAUCUAACCCAUCAUCAGCGAAUCCAUACUGGAGAGAAGCCUUAUAUAUGUAAAGAAUGUAACAAAGCCUUUCAUCGUUGUGCAGCUCUUACUCGACAUCAUCGAAUCCAUACUGGGGAAAAACCAUACAAAUGUAAAGAAUGCGGCAAAGCCUUUAUUAGGAGUUCGACCCUUACUCAACAUCACCGAAUUCAUACCGGGGAUAGACGUUAUAAAUGUGCAGAGUGUGGCAAGGCCUUUAUGAAGUGUUCUCAUCUUAAUUAUCAUCGGCGCACGCAUACUGGAGAGAGACCAUAUAAAUGUACUGAAUGUGGCAAAGCCUUUUAUCAGAACUCAUGUCUUACUCAACAUCGGCGAAUACAUACUGGAGAGAGACCUUAUGAAUGUACUGAAUGUGGCAAAGCCUUUGGUCGGAGUGCUUAUCUCACUAAACAUCUGAGAACACACACUGGACAGAAACUCUAG